AACAAGGAUUCCCCUAGUAACGGCGAGUGAACCGGGAAGAGCUCAAAUUUGAAAUCUGGCGUGCUCAGUGCGUCCGAGUUGUAAUCUAUAGAGUCGUUUUCCGUGCCGGACUGUGUCCAAGUCCCUUGGAACAGGGUAUCAAAGAGGGUGAUAAUCCCGUACUUGACACAAUGACCGGUGCUCUGUGAUACGUCUUCUACGAGUCGAGUUGUUUGGGAAUGCAGCUCAAAAUGGGUGGUGAGUUCCAUCUAAAGCUAAAUAUUGGCGAGAGACCGAUAGCGAACAAGUACCGUGAGGGAAAGAUGAAAAGCACUUUGGAAAGAGAGUUAAACAGUACGUGAAAUUGUUAAAAGGGAAACGAUUGAAGUCAGUCGUGACUGAGAGGCUCAGCCGGUUCUGCCGGUGUAUUCCCCUCAGUCGGGUCAACAUCAGUUUUGUUCGGUGGAUAAGGGCAGUUGGAAGGUGGCACCCUCGGGUGUGUUAUAGCCAGCUGUCGCAUACAUCGGAUGAGACUGAGGAAUGCAGCUCGCCUUUAUGGCCGGGGUUCGCCCACGUUCGAGCUUAGGAUGUUGA
rnacentral:rRNA from 1 species